rnacentral:rRNA from 1 species
AACGAACGCUGGCGGCAGGCCUAACACAUGCAAGUCGAACGCUCCGCAAGGGGAGUGGCAGACGGGUGAGUAACACGUGGGAAUCUUCCUGUUGGUGCGGAAUAGCUCAGGGAAACUUGGGGUAAUACCGCAUAAGCCCGAGAGGGGAAAGAUUUAUCGCCGACAGAUGAGCCCGCGUCUGAUUAGCUAGUUGGUGAGGUAACGGCUCACCAAGGCGACGAUCAGUAGCUGGUCUGAGAGGAUGACCAGCCACACUGGGACUGAGACACGGCCCAGACUCCUACGGGAGGCAGCAGUGGGGAAUAUUGGACAAUGGGCGCAAGCCUGAUCCAGCCAUGCCGCGUGAGUGACGAAGGUCUUCGGAUUGUAAAGCUCUUUUGGCGGGGACGAUAAUGACGGUACCCGCAGAAUAAGCCCCGGCUAACUUCGUGCCAGCCGCCGCCGUAAAAC